rnacentral:lncRNA from 1 species
UUUCCAUCUGUAAUGAUUGUUUAAUGACUAUUUAAAAAGUGCCGCCUGAGGUCUUCUAAUCACCCAAUUUUUAUUAAGCUCUCAAGGAAAUCACACAGAUGGAAUCAAAGAGGCUCAUUUUGAGUCUAGUCAAGUUCACCAACAGUCCAGAGAGGGAAGGAAUCAAUUUCACAUCCUGGACAUAAUAGGUGAAGCUACCAGAAAUCAAUGGUCAAUGAAGCUACUUAAUGGAAUCUACUGAAUUGUGAGCAGCAUGACUUGUGAGCACACUCUUCAACUAAGGAAGGAGUCUCUUUGAUACACAAUAAAUUAGUACAGCUUGCCCA